rnacentral:rRNA from 1 species
CCUACGGGAGGCAGCAGUGAGGAAUAUUGGUCAAUGGACGAGAGUCUGAACCAGCCAAGUAGCGUGAAGGAUGACUGCCCUAUGGGUUGUAACCUUCUUUUUUCAAGGAAUAAAACGAGGCACGUGUGCCUUUUUGCAUGUACUUUAUGAAUAAGGAUCGGCGAACUCCGUGCCAGCAGCCGCGGUAAUACGGAGGAUCCGAGCGUUAUCCGGAUUUAUUGGGUGUCAAGGGAGCGUAGAUGGGUUGUUAAGUCGGUUGUGAAAGUUUGCGGCUCAACCGUAAAAUUGCAAUUGAUACUGGCAGUCUUGAGUACAGUUGAGGCAAGCGGAAUUCGUGGUGUAGCGGUGGAAUGCUUAGAUAUCACGAAGAACCCCGAUUGCGAAGGCAGCUUACUAAACUGUGACUGACAUUGAUGCUCGAAAGUGUGGGUAUCAAACAGGAUUAGAUACCCGAGUAGUC